rnacentral:ncRNA from 4 species
UGGCAAGAUGUUGGCAUAGCUGA